ACUUGAUGAUGUGGACAUUUACGGAGGAGGUCUCUAAAUUGCUCCCAUGUCUCAAAGAGAGGUUCCCCAUCCAUCUGUGAAAAACUCAUGAUGGCUCUCCGAAGCU